GAUGAAGAACGUAGCGAAAUGCGAUACGUAAUGUGAAUUGCAGAAUUCAGUGAAUCAUCGAGUCUUUGAACGCACAUUGCGCCCCCUGGUAUUCCGGGGGGCAUGCCUGUCCGAGCGUCAUUACAACCCUCAAGCUCAGCUUGGUGUUGGGCCCCGCCGCCCCGGCGGGCCCUAAAGUCAGUGGCGGUGCCGUCCGGCUCCGAGCGUAGUAAUUCUUCUCGCUCUGGAGGUCCGGUCGUGUGCUCGCCAGCAACCCCCAAUUUUUUUCAGGUUGACCUCGGAUCAGGUAGGGAUACCCGCUGAACUUAAGCAUAUCAAUAAGCGGAGGA
rnacentral:misc_RNA from 1 species